ensembl:lncRNA
AGGGGUUCUAGAAGAAGGGGUGGAUGAAUGAGUGUGGUUGGAGGAACGGGUGAGAGAGAGAAUGUGUGAGUGAGAGAGACAGAGAGAACCGAAGUAUGAGCUGGAAAGGAGGGGUAACACCAUUUCCAGUAUUCUACGGGACUUGGAAGAAAAACGUUCAUUCCUAAAGCGGUCGGCUUCAUUAUCAUCAUCACCCCCCUGCGCUCGAGCUUUCACUACUUUUAUUUGGACUUUUGUCUGCGUCAGACAUGAAUGGUGGUCGUUCCUUUUUUCCCUUCAACCCUAAGUAUAUACAGCCUAAACAAAAUAAACCAAGGAGGUAGCGGUGAGGUCGAGGUGGUUGUUGGUCACUUUUCUUUCUGAGUCUUCUCCUCAGCGCACUCGGGAUGGAUGGAUAGGAUGGACUUCGCAGACGCGGGAGACGGAGCGCGCAACGACGAGGCUUUUGGAAACUUUCACGUGGAGUAGUUCAGCGGUUCCACUCAAAGGCGUUUGGCGACGCUAACAUUAGAGGCGCUUUUCUUUUGCGUGGGGAAAAAACUAACAACCAAAAAGAAUGGCCCGGACGGCUUUGUUUCUCCUGCUGUGGAUCUUGACGUGGCUGGGGGAUGCGAAGAGCACGUACCCGCAGCGCUACAGCCUGUACUCGGGCCAGACGCAGUCUCCUCAGCACAACAGCGCAGCCCACGGAGCGCGGGCGGCCAGCCGACACAGGGCUUAAUGAUAUGACAUGCCUUUACAUCCUUCAGCAGACACCAUCUCCCCUCUCCAGCCCCCCACGUCCAUCUCUAUUCUCCCCCUCCUCAGAGGUCCUACUGCUAAUAUUAAACCCCUUAUCUACCAUCAGUUCAAGGACUGAGGGGGGGACACUGUGUCCAUCACUGUUUGCCGGCCACCCAUAUAGUCACCCACACACAUAUAUCCAUGUGUAUUUAUGUAUACAGUGCCAUGUGCACAAAUAAACACAUUCAGCCCACGACUACUAUAUUACUAUUUAUUUUUUCUUGUGUAUUUUAUGCACACAAAAGAUAAGAUGUAUUAUGAAGGAAAUAUUUCUAUCUAUAUUAUGGUGUGUGUGUGCGUGUGUGUGAGUGUGUGUGGUGUGUGUGUGUGUGUGUGUGUGUGUGUGUGUGUGUGUGUGUGUUUGGCCUGUACUGAUAUGAACUGCGACUGGCUUCCCCUACACCCUUGUCUUCGGCUCCGACUGUGGGACCAGACUCACCUCACCCAAGUACAGCUUGACCGGAAUCUGGUGGAGAUAUUUUUACGAGAGCAACGUGACUAACCACUUCAGUAUGUUAGCAACCAUUAAUCCUUUCCCAAAAUAUUAUUCCUUUUUGGAUGCAUAAAUUAUUUUGUAACGUUUCUGUUGUUCCUGUUGUACAGUAAACAAUGAGAGCAAUAAAGAUGGUCGGCAGACAUAUUCAAUUUAAUGAAACCCUCUGUCCUUGAGCAUAAAUAAAAAUACAUUUCAGUUGCAGGGGGAUCAGAGGACUCCAGUCCAGAUAAAUCUGGUUUGAACCAAACAAUGAGGUCUUCUUUCCUGGCUCUGCCUCCAGUCUUUGUUAUUAAUUGAGUCAAUUACCAUGGCCUUCUAUUUCUAUUUCUGAAUCUUUAUCCCAUUUUGAACUCUCUCUGUCUCUCUAUCUCGCUCUCUCUUUCUUUCUCACUCUCUUUUUCUAGCCGUCUCUCUUUCCUUCUCACUCUCUACCCCCCCCCUAUCUCUCUCCCUCUCUCUCUGGCGUUGUCGCUUUGUGUCAAUCUCUCUCUAUCUUGGAGUAGUUCCCUCUGAACCAGGGAUAAAGACUGGUCUGUAGCGGAGGAUGGAUGAAAAUCGAAGUCUUGUGGCAGCUAUUCACUAUGCUUGUCUGUUCUUUUUUUAUGAAAUAGCUUGCAUACUCAAAGAGGUCCAUUCACAACCCUCACACUGAGCACCCUGAAGGUACCUUACUGGGUAAUGGGGAGGUUACAGAUAAAGAGACCAGAUUAGGGGGAAAAGAGCCCAGCAUAAUUCCAUGGCUGAGUAGAAAAAGAGGAACAUGGCAACUGUAUUGGUUUCAAGUUUGAAAAUUGUUUUUAGGACAUAUGCACACACACAAACACACACACACACACACACACACACACACACACACACACACACACACACACACACACACACACACACACACACACACACACACACACACACACACACACACACACAAACACACAUAUAAACACACACACUGCUGGUGGUUUGGUGUGUGGCCCCAGCCUGACAUUUUCCCCAGAGAUUUAAAUGGGGAAAUUCAAGUGGUUUAGAAUCAUGGGAAAUGAGGAGUGAGGCUUUGGCAGCGGGCCGUUGGUGUUUGGCCGUGGUCAGUCGGAGUGACAGCAUGACGAGGGUGUGACAUGUGCUCUCGCAACAACCCCAAAACACUUGCUACACCUGCUUUCGGCAAAGUUUGAGCAAGUUUGACCGUUUGACACAUAAAUAAAGCAAUAGCCAAUAGGUUGUUUAAAGUGUAUUGUGGAACAUUUGGUCACGGACCCAGAGACUUUUGGCAUCUGUAACACAUCACACAACGUAGGCUACAGUUCAAAGCUUUGUGUUGGAGUGGUCGACCGGGUGUGACAUGAAACAUACAAUUGUAAUGUUGUCUACAUGACAGUUGUCCUAACGUGUUCAGAAUAUGUUUGGACGUUAUGAUCAAUAUUUACUCCCAUUAUAACCAUUUUCAGGAGAGAUGGCCGGGAUUCAAAUGAUUCCUGGAAGAAUUUU